rnacentral:rRNA from 1 species
UACGUAGGUGGCAAGCGUUGUCCGGAUUUACUGGGCGUAAAGAGCGCGCAGGCGGUCGUUCAAGUCGCGUGUGAAAGCCCCCGGCUCAACUGGGGAGGGUCACGCGAUACUGAUCGACUCGAAGGCAGGAGAGGGUAGUGGAAUUCCCGGUGUAGUGGUGAAAUGCGUAGAUAUCGAGAGGAACACCUGCGGCGAAGGCGGGUUGCUGGGCUGACACUGACGCUGAGGCGCGAAAGCUAGGGGAGCGAACGGG